UAUGAAUUCCAUUCUUACUCAUAUAUCUUUUCUUUGAAAUUCUUUUAUUUGAAUUCGGUUUGGUGUUUAACAAUGCCAAAACCCUAGGUUUCUUAAUUUCCCUCAUGAAGAUGGCGGUUCCUCCGUCUCUUUAUCCUCCUUUUUCUCAAAGUUGCAGAAACCUUAGGAUGAACAACUUCCUUUGCAGAUCUGAAACAAACAUGUAAGAGGUUUCUCGGGUUAUUAUGGAGUGUUUCUUGAAGCUUUAUUAUCAAUCUGAGAGUCCUUAUACUUGGGAUUCUGCUUUGACUCGGUUACUAUGAAGAGAGGAUGAAUAACAAAACCUAUUGGAUGCUUGAGGGAAGAGUGUUAGUCCAGAAAUUCAGUGACACUUGUUCACAACGGGUGCUAGUAAGUCGAAUCAUAUUUGUGUGAAGAAGUGAUUUUGAGUUGACCAUUGGAAUUCUUCUAUAUUUUUUUUACAGUUGGAUAGUGUUGAAACUUGGAUGCACGAAUCAUCCUAUUUGUAUUAAAGGGUUUAUAUUGGUCAAGCAAUGCAGUCAUCAAAAUACAACAAGAUAUUCAAUGAACGAGGAGAUUCAAAGCCAUAAGUUAUUCCAAUUUACAAGAAUUUGUGGAGCUUCCUAAACUUGUAAGGGAAUGUGAUGUCACCCGAUUUCUGAAUGAUAAAUGAAAUGUUAACUUCACAAGGACAAACAAUAGACUUAACAAUAUCAAUUUUAAUAGAUUAUUGGCAUUAAGUUGUUUACAUUCUUUGUCCAAUCAAACUGUUGCAGGAUAAGUCAAUUUGAGUAUUUACAAAUUGAAGGAAGGAGAGCAUCAUUCACUAUUAUCCUCACAACAUGCUCUUUAUGUAUUUGGCAUUGUCAACAUGAAUCUGUCCUUUCCAAUGAUAGAAAUCUACACAAGAGCAAGGUUCUACAAAUGCACACUGAGGUUCAGAGAAGACUCAAAUGAGCAAACUUGAGGCCCUGUGUUAUAUAUAUUUUCUACUUGAUUGGUAUGGCUUUGUAUGCCCUUUGCAAAUCAUUACUCUUGAUUUGUUGGUGAUUUUUGAUGAAGCAACAUCUGAUAAAUUGGAGUAUGUUCUUAGAGAAAAUAGGGAGGCUUCCAUGCUAUACUAGGUCUCUUCAAUAGUUGAUUAGUUAAUUAGAUGUUGAAUUAAAAGUUGGACUGUUUUUAUCUUUUAUUUUAUUUUAGUGUAUUUGGCUAGUUUUGUCAAAGGUGUGAAAUAUCUGUGUAAGAAAAUUUAGUAUUUUAUAUUUUUUACCAAUUUUAUAAUUAAUAUAAAUAUUCUGUCUAUUUAUAAAUUAAUAAAUUUAAAACUUGAAUGC